CAGAUACUGGUGCUUUGUCCGAUACAUGAUUUGUAGUUUGACUCUUCCUACGAUGUUCUGCAGAGAAGAUUUUUCUGAUGAAGCCAAUUUAGCAAAUUUUCCUCUCUUGGGGUUGUGAUUUGGAUGUCAACUUGGAACAGGAUGGCUGUGCACACUGAGAUAGACGCCGAGUUCUACAGAGAGCUGCCUGGAGAUGAAACACCUUUUGAUGAAUUCCCCACCCCAUGCCCCAAUUUACACUGUUACCCAAGCCUGCAAACUGUGUACUUGAAGAAACACUCUCCUUCUCUCCCUGAUUGAAACCUCCUUAUUUUUCUUGCCAUUGUUUUUGAAUCUGUUUCAUACUUUUGUGAAAAUAAAGAGAUCUGUUUGCUGGGGGAAAAAAA